CGGCGAGUGAACCGGGAUGAGCUCAAAUUGAAAUCUGGCGUCUCUCAGGCGUCCGAGUGGUAAUCUAUAGAGGCGUUUUCCGCGCCGGACCGCGUCCAAGUCUCUUGGAAUAGAGUAUCAAAGAGGGUGACAAUCCCGUACUUGACGCGACAACCGGUGCUCUGUGAUACGUUCUCAAUGAGUCGAGUUGUUCGGGAAUGCAGCUCUAAAUGGGUGGUAAAUUCCAUCUAAGGCUAAAUAUUGGCGAGAGACCGAUAGCGAACAAGUACCGUGAGGGAAAGAUGAAAAGCACUUUGGAAAGAGAGUUAAACAGCACGUGAAAUUGUUAAAAGGGAAACGAUUGAAGUCAGUCGUGUGGGAAGUAUUCAGCCGUCUCUGGCGGUGUAUUUGCUUCUCACGGGUCAACAUCAGUUUGAUCCGGUAGAAAAAGGCGGGAAGAAGGUGGCACCCUCGGGUGUGUUAUAGCUUCCUGUCAUAUGUGCCGGACCAGACUGAGGAACGCAGCUUGCAGCAAUGCCGGGGUUCGCCCACGUACAAGCUUAGGAUGUUGACA
rnacentral:rRNA from 1 species